GACUGGACGAGGUGCGCGCUGUGCGGCGGUUCCCGAGCAUGCUCCGCUGGGUCCGCGCCUGGGGGCUCCCCCACAGGGGGCUCGGUCCCCCCCGUCUCAGCUUCUCUGGGGUGCCCGUCGCGCCCAGCAGCAGCAGCGGCCGAGGCGGCGCCGAGCCGAGGCCGGUGCCGCUUUCCUACAAGCUUCUGGACGGGGAGGCGGCCCGCCCGGCCCUCGUCUUUCUGCACGGACUCUUCGGCUGCAAAACCAACUUCAACUCUGUCGCCAAGGCCCUGGCCCAGCAGACAGGCCGAAGGGUGCUGACAGUGGAUGCUCGGAACCAUGGUGAUAGCCCCCACAGCUCAGACAUGAGCUAUGAGGCCAUGAGCCAGGACCUGCAGGACCUCCUUCCCCAGCUGGACUUAGUGCCCUGCGUCCUCAUUGGUCACAGCAUGGGAGGCAAGACAGCCAUGCUGCUGGCACUACAGAGGCCAGAGCUGGUGGAACGCCUGAUUGCCGUGGACAUCAGCCCAGUGGAGACCACAUCUAGCUCAGACUUCCCAACCUACAUGGCAGCCAUGAGGGCCAUAGACAUCCCGGAUGAGGUGUCCCGCUCCUGUGCCCGCAAACUGGCCGAUGAGCAGCUCAGCACUGUCAUCCAGGACAUGGCUGUGCGACAGUUCCUGCUGACCAACCUGGUGGAGGUGGACGGGCGCUUCGUGUGGAGGGUGAACUUGGAUGCCUUGGCCCAGCAUGUGGACAAGAUCAUGGCCUUCCCACCACAACAAGAAUCCUAUCCUGGGCCAACCCUCUUCCUCCUUGGUGGAAAUUCUCAAUUUGUGCCGACCUCCAGCAGCUGGGCCUCCACAGCUCGCAGCCUGGCUCUGCAUGUGUCCAGCUCAGCCUCCACUGCCUGCUUCCUGCGGAUGGCAAGGAGAGCAGCCUGAGGCUCAGGCCCGCCCAUCUGGUGCUGGGCCCUGGGGGUGGGCAAGUGUGGCCACAGCCCCUACCUUGUGACAGGAUGGCAUUCUAUUUUAAAGAAGAACCUUCUUGGGGCCGACCCCAUGGCUUAGCGGUUGAGUGCGCGUGCUCCGCUACUGGCGGCCUGGAUUUGGAUCCCAGGUGCGCACCGCUUCUCCGGCCAUGCUGAGGCCACGUCCCACAUACAGCAACUAGAAGGAUGUUUAACUAUGACGUACAACUAUCUACUGGGGCUGUGGGGAGAAAAAGGA